UUUUUUUUUUUCUUUUUUUAAAUAAUGGUUUUUAUUUUUUCCAUUAUAGCUGAUUUACAGUGUUCUGUCAAUUUUCUACUGCACAGCGAGGUCAGCCAGUCACGUAUACAUAUAUACAUUCUUUAUUCUCAUAUUAUCAUGUUCCAUCACAAGUGAAGAGACAUAGUUCCCAGUGCUAUACAGCAGGAUCCCAAUGCUUAUCCAUUCCAAAGGCAAUAGUUUGCAUCUAUUAACCCAAAAUUCCCAGUCACUCCCAGUCCCUCCCACUCCCCCCCUGGCAACUGCAAGUCUGUUCUCCAUGUCUUUUCUGUGGAAAGGUUCAUUUAUGCCAUUUAUUACAUUCUAGAUAUAAGUGAAAUCAUAUGGUAUUUGUCUUUAUCUUUCUGACUUACUUCACUUGGUCUGAGAGUCUCUAUUUCCAUCCAUGUUGCUGCAAUGUCAUUAUUUUGUUCUUUUUUAUGGCUGAGUAGUAUUCCACUGUGUAUAUAUACCACAUCUUCUUAAUCCAUUCAUUGGUCAGUGGACAUUUAGGUUGUUUCCAUCUCUUGGCUAUUGUGAAUAAUUCUGCAAUGAACAUGUGGGUGCAUGUGUCUUUUUCAAGGAAAAUUUUUUCUGGAUAUAUGCCCAAGAGUAGGAUUGCUGGGUCAUACACGUAUAGUUUUCUAAGGUAUCUCCAUACUGUUUUCCAUAGUGGUUGUACCAAUUUACAUUCCCACUUGGUGAUAUGUCUAGGUGCAGGUUUGUUUCUAUGAACUAUACAAAGCCUUUUGAAACAGAAACUCAUGUGCUUCACAUUUGGAAACUGUUUAAUUAUUUCUUUGGUUCAUUUUUUAUCUUUAUUUAAAUUUAUUUUUAUUAUUAUUAUUUUUGUCUAUUGUCUUUUUAGGGGCACACCCAUGGCAUAUGGAGUUUCCCAGGCUAGGGGUCUAAUUUUAGCUGUAGCCACCAGCCUACACCAGAGCCACAGGAACACCAGAUCUGAGCCGUGUCAGUGACGUACACCACAGUUCAGGGAGCCACAACCCAAAGAGCGAGGCCAGGGAUCGAAUCCGCAACCUCAUGGUUCCUGGUCGGAUUUGUUUCUGCUGUACCACGGCAGGAUCGCUCAUUCUUUAUCUUCAAAUUUUAUACUAUAUGACUGGAAUUCCUAAUAUUUGCAUAUUGAAUCUCUUGAAUUUGGCACUUUUUGUUUCAUCUAUUUUCUAUUUCUAUUAUUUUGUUCUACUUUUUAUGAGACAAUGGAUUUUAUGUUUAAAGGCUUCUGUUGUUUUUCUUAAUUCCUUCUCUCAUAUUUUCUCAUAUUUCUCUAAUUCUUUCAUAUUUCUCAUAAUAGUAAGAGCAUUUUUGCUGCUCUUUGAGAGUUACUGUUUCAUAGCUUCCUGUUCCUAUUUUGUAGAUUUCAUAUAAUCUUUUAUACCUUGGAAGACACCAAUGAUAGUAUUUUAAGUUCUCUUCUUGCUGUGUGGUUACUCUUUCUUCUAAUUUCUUUUUUUCUCUCUCUCUUUAGUCUGACUUUUGUAUUAUAUACUUUUUCAAUGACAGAUGCCUAGACUGAUUUCCAGUUUAUAAGGAUGGCACUGAUAUCUGAUUAGAAGUUUUGUGCUUGUCAGUGGGCUCUUUUACAAUAGGGAGACCUACCUGGCUGUUGUCAUUGUUCAAUCCCUGAAGUCAAUACUACUAGGUCUUUCCUCUUAAACUAGUCCAAUUCUCUAGAGAGGAUUCUUUCAAUCUCCAACACAUAAGUCUAGCUGCCAGCACUCUGAAAGCUUAGAGUAGAGAGGACAGGGAAAUUUCCAUGUCUCAACACUGAGUAGGUAAAUUUUUCCUUGUUUUCCCUAUUUUCACUAUUGCUCCUCCAUCUCUGUGCCCAUUGGUGCCUGGUGUCUGUCUUUUCAGAGGAUUUUGUUUUACUUUAUUUAGAGAAUAAGCUCCUCUUUUCUAGCUGGAUGAGUGGAAAGCUGUUUGAACAAAGGAAGGUGAUCUAAUCAUCUGAUGGCUUUUCAACAGUGUUUCUUUCAGUCGUUUCUUUUGCAUUUUUUCUCAGGUUUUCUCCCAUCACCAGAGGUAUGUAAAGCUGUCAAUUUCUGAGCCUUUUGGGAGUUCUGUGGUAUAAAUCAAGUUGCUUCUUGGCUUCCUUCACUGCCAGCUUAAGAAUCUAUUUUUGUGGGUCUGCCAAGUUAGUUACUACAAUUCAGGCAUCUGCUUUCCAGCUCCCAAAAUUGUUAUGCCAUUCUCUUGGUCCUUAUGAAUAUAUGCUUUUAAAAAUAUUUUGGCUAUCUUUGUAGUGCUUUCUUUGUUUGUUUGUUUGUUUUUUGAAGGGUAUGAGUGGGUUGGGAAAAGGGGAUGAAAGUAAGAAUAUAGGUAUAGUGUGUGUUUGUAGGUGUAUGUGUGUGUUCUACUAUUUUUAGCUGGAGGUCUCAAAAUAAUUAUUUUUAGAACUCCUUUUUUGUUCCCUGGCAGAGUGUGUUUUUAGCAGAAAUCCUAUCUACCAUGUAACUGAAAAAAAUAAAUAUUUGAAAAACAGCAUUUUCAUGAAAUACCUCUGGGCAUUUUAUGAAAAAUGGUUGAAAGUUGAAGAGUGAAGUAUGAUUAUCACAACCUCUGGGGAGUCAACAGAAAAGCAAAGGAUUUUUAAAGACUCUCCACUAUUUUUCAGGCACUGUGCUCUACUCCUUAGGAUAUGUUAUCACAUUUUCUUUUGAUGCAACAAUGAUUCCAUAAACUAGAGUUUAUUACCGUUGUUUUUACAAAGAAGGGAACAGAGGGUAACCCAUAAGCUAGAAAACCAAAAACCAAACAAAAGCAAAAAUGAAAACACACAGCUAUUGAAUAAAAAUGCUUGCAAGUAAAGCCCCUAAUCGAAAUUCACUGCGUGGCUGAAACACAGCAAGGUGAGUGAAUAGUGCCCUAUUACAAUGAUCCAAAUUCUUCCUUGUCACAAACUCCUGCUUGACCUAAACGAAGGAAGGAGAUUUCGCUGAGAGUGUGGUCUCUGACUGGAAACAAGGCUAACUCAUUCUGUGACCUUGGGCACAUUACUUCACGUUCAGGGCCCCCAUUUCUCCAUCAGUAAAACAAGGUCAUCCGAAUAAAUGGUCUGUUGCAUUCUGAUGAUCUAUCUUGCAGAUGGUGAGCUGGAGGUGCUGAGAGCUCCAAGUCAGAGGGGAAGUCAAAUACUCGGCCACACUCUCACUCUCUGUUUAUGCUUUUUUGCAAGAAACUGCCCAACCCAUAGUUCGACGGUCUUCCAAAUGCCAGUGGGCACGAAUGAUGGUUUUCUCCCAAGUCCCUCUUCAGAACUGAAUCUCUCCACAUCCCUUUCAGGGACUGCACUGUCUCCUCUAAGCUCAAGGUAAAUAAAUACUCCAAGACGUGGAACAGAACUGGAAGUCACAGUUGGAGAAAGGAGGCGGCAAACCUUGGACCUUUUACCGUAUGGCCUUACACUUUUGAUUAUUUUAUGAAAGCAUGAAGUGACAUGUUGGUUUCUUCAAAGCCAUUCUUGUACAUGCCUUCCAGGGUUAUAAGCCAUGUGAAUUUAGAUAAUGAGGUAAUUGGGUUUAAUGACUGAAGCAGUGAUUCAGGAAGGAGUAGACCCCAAAUUAUUUAUAAUAAUUGUUACUAAUACUUGUAUGAUAUUACUAAAGCAACCUCAAAAUGGUAAUAACUGCCAUUUGAGAAAUGGAAGUGAUCAUACAUAUAAUUUUACCCAAGUUACCUGUGCCUGGAUCUGGAAUCUAAGACUCAGAGAGACAAUGGAACUUGAGCGAAAAUUUGACCAAAAUUAUGCUAAUUCUUAAUUUGAUGCUUUUUUUUCCCCCUGUAAAUAACUUCCUUGCUCCCUUGCUGGUGAUAUCAAUCCAUCUCCUUCAACAAAUGUCAUAGUGCUGAUUUGUAACUAUGAUUGACAUCUGUGACAGAAUAUUUAUUGGUUUGCUGGUUACUUUGAUUAAUAAUGAUGUUCCAGCAAAAUUAAGUUUAGGCUACUCAUAGAGAAAUUAGAUCAAAAAAGGCAAGAUGUAGAAGCCUGAUUUCAACACCAAAAUCAUCUAAAUACAAUUGUAAUAGUAUAAGUAAAAUGAAAUAACAUUUUAUGCCAUGGUAUAAAUAAUAAAAGUUUGUUUUCAUUUAGUAAUUUUAUUCUCUCUGUUUAUUCCAGGAAUAUUAUACAUUCGGUGUUGUCCGUGUGCUUUAGAAUGAUUAUCUCAUUCAGUUGUCAUGAUAUUAAAUAAAGUAGGUGUAAUGAGUAUCCCCCUCCCCUAGAGCUCAGAGAGAUAGGUGAAUUUCUCAAGGUCUACACAUGGUAUUUCCAGGAUUGGAAUAUUAUUCCAGACAGAUCUAAUUUGCAAAUGUCAGGGUUUUUAUUGCUGAGUUACACUUCCAAAAAUUUCCCCUAAACUGAUAAAUUUUACAGGAAGCACUCCCAAGAAAGAUUUCACACAUCUUUAAAGCAAUGCUCUUAUUGCAGUUUUGCCAACUUUAUCACCACUAUUUAAACCAAACCAAAUGCUUCUUUUAUCUGGGUGGCUAUUUGUUUAGCAGUGUCUUUCUCAGCAUCUUGAUCUUUACUUUUAUCUUUUUGUCAGUGAGAAUUUUGCUGAUACCAGAGUCAUCUGUGAUUUCUUAGUAGAGUCUUUUGUAUGUACUCUAAGAAAUAUUAUUAUUUUUUUGUGGUCCCAAAUCAACUUAUCUCAAAUGGUGGUGCACUGUAAUAUUUUAUUGACACUUCAUCCUCAUCAUACUAGUUUAUAUCUUAAGCUUGAUUUUUCUCAUCCUUCGAUUUCUUUAUGAGAGAAAAUAUCUAAACUUAAUCUUUUGAGACUUGUGAAAAUAAGUUCUUCAACUUCUUUAUUUCCAGUUUCUUUAGUUCAAAAACAGAUAAAAUAAGAUAAAAUUAGGUAAUCAUUCUUUCAUGCAAAGUUAUUGAUAUUAACAUAGCUAAUUACAAUUAUGUGUUCAUUGAGUUGGUAAAUUAAUUACUUAGACUUAAAGAGACAGGGAUUCAAAUGCUGACUUUGCCCUUUUAGUAAAGGUUUUGGGGUAUGUUUUAUUUUUAUGGAAAGUAGUACUAUUAUCACUUCCACCCAGGGUGGCUGGAUGAACCGAGAUUGUACGCGGGGAAGAAUAAACAAUGCCUGUCAUGUAAUUCGUGUUAAAUAAUUGUUUAUCAUUUAUUGAUUCAGACUUAUUCACCCCCAGAACUGCUUCUUCCUAGUAUAAGGAAUUAGUAUAAGUAUACGGAGCAAGCAAAUUGGUUAUACAAGGUAAGCCAUUUCAACUGUAUUGAAAUCAUUUGCCUGAAACGUUUUUGUUCCCAUUCAACAUUGCUUGUUUACACGGUGUCGGAUCAAAUGGGAGAGAGAACAAGGUGAUUCACGAUCAUCCUCCAAAGAGGCAGCUGCAACAUAAACGAUGUCUCAGGAAACAGCAUAAUCUGUUUAUGUGGCCACAACUGUGUGAUCUCUGACCUGUCUUAAUCUUCAGGGGUGGAUAUGUGUGGCACUUUUGUCCCCAGGUGGAACCGAAUAUUGACCAAAAAAAAAAAAAAAAAAAAAAAAAAAGAGAGAGAGAGAGACCCACCAUUAAUUUGUGUAUUUCUUUUAUAUCAUUGCAGAUAUCUUGAAAACCUUUGGUAUAGGUUUCAAAUCUUCACUUGCUUCAUUGAGCUCAUCUCUCCUGCUUUGCAAAGAUAGGUACUUGGAAGCCUCAGAUAAUCAAAUUUUAAGAGAUGUGAAGUCUGUGAAAUUUUAACGCUAACUUUGAUUUCAAGUUAAAAGUGAUAUCUGAGAACUUGGUUUGUAAGAGGGAGAAACAAAAUCAAUACCAAGAACUGCUUUUUCUGGUGUCCACAAGUUAAAAAAAUGUGGAUUAGCAGGAUAUGAAGGUGAAGCAGAAUUUGGAGAACUCUGGAAAAGUCGUUAAUGUUGUGGUUUUGCACAGUCUUUGUAAAAGUUGACCUUUCUGAGUUCAACUCAAACCAGGAUGUUGGCGGUGGAUAAAAAUCUCUGUUUCUGAGUCAAGUGUCUGGCCUCUGGGAAUUUGAAGAGUCAUUGCCAAUAGGAAAAUGUGUUCAGAUAGCAGCUACAAGCACAGGGCCUGAUGCAGAGAAGAGGUGCUACAGAGGCUUCCUGAAAUGUAUUGAGGAUGUGUAAUAAAGAGGAAAACAAUACACAUUCUCUAAAAGAAAAACGGUUCAUCCAUGUUGCUGUGAAUAAUUGGAGUCCUGCUUUUAUCUUUAAAAAUACCCUGGAGGAGUGAGCCAGCAUUGUAGUCAUUGUCUGACAAGGCAGAGAGCUAAUGGUAUGGAAGUAAAGUGAAGUGCUCUCAAGAAUCCUUCUGUGGAUCACUGAUAUAAAGUCUAGACACAGCAUAAAAAAACAACUAGUAAGACACUGGAGAGUGUCCAAAAUGAGACAGAAGCCAGAAGAUAGUUCAUCUUCAGAAAAAACUUCAACAGGAAAUGGAAACGGUUGAAAGCUUGCGGCUUUGUCUUUGCAGGACGCUCAUCAUGAGUUGGAAGCAGAAACUCACAGCCUCAUUACUCAGGGUGUAAAAAACCAAGAACAUAAUUCUAGAAGAGAGCAGGGUCCAACGUAUGAAUAUAUACUAUGUGCAAUUCCUUGUUUGAUUGUGCAUGCUAGUGGUUAUACUGAGAGGACUCAAAGAAAAUGCAAGAAGAGAAAUAAUAGAACCUAUCCUUAAAAGACAGAGCUGUACUGGGUGAUAUCCAUGAAUACGCUCUUUUUUUUUUAAUUAAGUGUAUUUUCCAAAUAUGUAGCUCACAUGGCAAAAAGCUAAAAAGCCUUAUUGGCUUAAAGGAUCAGAGAACAGAGACUGAGGCAGAUAGAGAAUUAGCAGAGGAAUUUCCAGAAUCAAACAACCUGAGAGAGGAUAAACUCCAAAAUAUGAGUAGAAGCACUACUUAAAUCUGUAAUGGUUACCAAAUUAUAAAUAUAAGGGGAUAAUACAAAGAGAUUGGGUUGUAAUAGCAACAACCUGAAGCUGUAAGAAGUAUGUAAAGAUUUGAAAUGCUGCAUAUCAUGGAAGAGACGAACAGAAUAACCAGAACAACACACAGAUUGCAAAAUAGCUCUGCAAUAAUAUCUGAACUAUUCAGUUUUACACUGAAAAUUUGAAGACAUACAUAGUGACAGUAAACCGUGAUCCAUACUCAGGAAAAAUGACAGCAAAUGGAACAGAGACUAAACAUGCCCACAUGUUAUAUACGGCAGACCAAGAUUUAAAAGUAUAUGUUAUGAAUACCUUCAAAAAUAAAGAAAAAAUAUCAAGGAAUUAAAAGAAAAAAAUGAUCCUAAUGAAAAAAUUAGAGAAUUUGAACAGAGAAGCUGAAUCUAUAUAAAUAAGUGGAUAGAAAUUUCCAGUAGACAAGCACAAAAACAGAAUGAAAAGUUGAAAGAAGAUUCAGUGACCUCAAAAGAUAGAGCAAUAGAAUUUACUCAAUCCGAAGAACAGAGAGAAAAAAGGCUAAAAGGUUGAAUGUGCUUAAGAGUAUAGCUAUGAUAAGAAUGCUAAGUUUUCAAAAAGAGAAUGAGCUGAAAGGAAGCCUCCUGAAAGUGUGAUAAUGGGAGAUGUGCUGUUGAGUUUCCAGUUUCUGACGGGUGACAAAGAGCCUACCUUCGCUAAGCUGUUGGAUACUUUUUAUGGUAGGCACCAAGACUCAGACUACUUAAGUCAGAAAUUUUUAGCAAGUGCUCUGGGCAAUUCAAUAGCUUAGGAAGAAAUAAGGCAUUUUACGUUCAAAGAUUUGGGAAGUCAAUGGUGGAGUUAAUAUGACCCAGUGUUGUGCAGUUAAGAGUUUGUAAGAUUGUGUUAUUGGCACCAACUUGUCUUCUUGCCCUGUAUCCAUGUCCUUUGCAUUUAAAAUUUUCAGUGCAUCCAUUCCAAGGGCAGUGGGCUGGAGGGAUAAUUUCUACUCCUGAUCUUGUCAUGAGACUUGAUGUGGCCAAGUAGAUGUUUGCAGAAAUGAAGCAAACAACGUUGUGAAAAGUGUUUGCACGUUAGGCUUGCUUGCUCCUUUGAUUCCAUCAGUUUCUUGAGAAGAACAUGCCUGCAUGUUCUAGCCUGGGUUAAUACUGGGGGUAGAAUGAAGGACAUAGGAGUAAAGCUACAUCAAUUAAAUUGCCCAGCCAAGUCUAAGCUUAGAGCAGAGUGUCCCAUCCAACCUUCAGAGGGAUGCAUUUGUCCACAAAGAUCAUCAGAGUCAUCCCAAUGAGCCCAGGUCAGCCAACGCUGUGAUAUCCCAUGGACCUGUAAAUUGUAAUAAUAAAUGCCUAUUGUUUUAACCCACUAAGUUUUGAGGUCACUCGUUCCAUACAAAUAUUUAAGUGAUAGAAUAUUUAAAAGUUUCAAGCACUGUGACAAAUGCUUUAUAUAUAUUAUCUGGUUUAACACCCAAAACAUUUUUGUGAGAUAGAUACUGUAUUAUUUUUAACAUUUCCAUAGUAAGAAACAAGGACUCCAAAUGUUAUUUUACUUUUCAAAGUCAUACAGCCAUGGAAUGAAGCCAGGAUUCAAAUGUAGGCAGCCCAUGUCACAUAUUAUAUAUGCCUAAGAAUCUGUGUCUGUUAGAGAUUUUUCUAUCUCCAAAUUGUCAGAAUUGCAUGCUGAGAAAGGGAACUAAAAAUAAACCUUGCAGUAGGAAUAUAGAACAUUUCAAAAUAUGUAAUAACAAGAAAUUUCUUUUUAAUCUUUCUCCCUACACACCACUGACAUAUACAAACGCUGUAAUACAAAUGCUCAAAGUAGUGAAAUACCAACUUCUGUGCUUGCUUACAUUCAGAGUCAGAGGGUGCCAGGAAAAACAUAUGCUUGCUGCCAUGCAUGGGUAUUCAUUCCUAGACCUUCACGAUGCCUCCUACUAAUUUAUUUUCAUCACUGGCAGUUUGAAUUGUAUUCCUCUCUCCCCCCCCCCUUUUUUCAUCAUUCAGCACCACUUACAAAAAGUAAGAGAAAAAAAAUAAAAGCUCUAACUCCUAAAAUUUCAGACAUAUGGUGGGGAUUAAACAGGUUCUAUGGGGUUGAGAAGCAGGGGACUUGAACUCUUGACUUGUUCCUACCCUCAAGUGCCCUUAGGUUGUCAGGCAAGUCUUUUUCUUACAUCUUGUAGCCUUGAUUUUCUCCCCAGUAUAAUGGGAUAACUACCAGCUCUGGAAACCUAUGAAACCCAUUUAUUUCUCAUUCUCUCAAAAGUAGGUUGUUGUCCACUAGCUAUAUAUCAGAUCGAAUGCUACUUAAUGAGAUACGGAAAAGGAAACAAAAUAAAAUCCUUGCAAGAGUGCUCAGUCUGGGAAAUAGAGAUGGAGCCAAUAAGUAAAAAAUUACAGAAAAAUGUAAUAAGUGCUCAGUGUUAUUUUUGUCACAAAAAUGUAUUUGCCAUAAAUUUAAAACAAUAUGGUACAGAAGUUUCAAUUAAAUAAUUUAUUUCUAAAUAUGUUUCAUAUUCUAAGAGACUAGAACCAAAAUUUUUUCGCUAAACAUAGUACUUUUGACAACAUUUUCAUCACAAUAUAUGACUUAUGCUUUUUCACUCUCUUUAAAAAAAAAAAAUCUAUGUGUUGAAGGCCAAAUAAUACCUUGGAAAUAUCUACAACCUGGUCAGAUAUAUAUAUGUAUACAGUAUACAUGUACAUUCUCGUAUAUGUGUGUGUAGACACAUAUAUGUGUGUACAUAAUGCAUAUUAUAGAAGAAAAGUGACUUAGAAAAAGGCCAAGACCACUUUUGACUCUUGGGAGGAAUGGAAAAAUAAAAAGUAUCAUGACAAGUUUAUCAUUUAUCUGAUGUCAAUAAAAGUAUACAAAUACUAAACCUGCUAAUUUUCUUUUCGUUUCCUCUCAAUAUUUUCCUUGUGGUAUCCUUGGAGAAGUUGGAAAAUUUAUGGACUUAGUUUAGAAAUACAUUGAAAAAACCUACACUGUAGGAGUUCACGUCAUGGCUCAGUGGUUAACGGAUCUGACUGGCAUCCAUGACGAUGCAAAUUUGAUCCCUGGCCUUUCUCAUUGUGUUAAGGAUCCAGCACUGCAGUGAGCUGUGGAAC